rnacentral:rRNA from 1 species
GAGUUUGAUCAUGGCUCAGAACGAACGCUGGCGGCGUGCCUAACACAUGCAAGUCGAACGUGAAAGUCCCUUCGGGAUGAGUAAAGUAGGCGCACGGGUGAGUAACACGUAGGUAACCUGCCUCAAAGACUGGGAUAACUUUCCGAAAGGAAUGCUAAUACCAGAUAAGACCACGAUUUUAAAUUUAUUGGGGUCAAAGGCGCUUUCGGGUGUCGCUUUGAGAUGGGCCUGCGGUACAUUAGCUAGAUGGUGGGGUAACGGCCUACCAUGGCAACGAUGUAUAGCUGGUCUGAGAGGACGAUCAGCCACACUGGAACUGAGACACGGUCCAGACUCCUACGGGAGGCAGCAGUGGGGAAUAUUGGACAAUGGGGGGAAACCCCUGAUCCAGCAACGCCGCGUGAGUGAUGAAGGCCUUCGGUCGUAAG